rnacentral:tRNA from 1 species
UAUGUUGUAGACUAAUAGGUAAGUCAUAAAUUUUUGGUGUUUACUAAUGAGUGUUCAAAUCACUCCAACAUAA